GACGAACGCUGGCGGCGUGCUUAACACAUGCAAGUCGAACGGAAAGGCCCUGCUUUUGUGGGGUGCUCGAGUGACGAACGGGUGAGUAACACGUGAGUAACCUGCCCUUGACUUUGGGAUAACUUCAGGAAACUGGGGCUAAUACCGGAUAGGAGCUCCUGCUGCAUGGUGGGGGUUGGAAAGUUUCGGCGGUUGGGGAUGGACUCGCGGCUUAUCAGCUUGUUGGUGGGGUAGUGGCUUACCAAGGCUUUGACGGGUAGCCGGCCUGAGAGGGUGACCGGCCACAUUGGGACUGAGGUACGGCCCAGACUCCUACGGGAGGCAGCAGUGGGGAAUAUUGCACAAUGGGCGGAAGCCUGAUGCAGCAACGCCGCGUGCGGGAUGACGGCCUUCGGGUUGUAAACCGCUUUCGCCUGUGACGAAGCGUGAGUGACGGUAAUGGGUAAAGAAGCACCGGCUAACUACGUG
rnacentral:rRNA from 1 species